CUAUCAAUUUCCCAUUAAGAAAUGAAAUCAAUAUAGCAGUGUUAACACUGAAAGAAAAAGGUGAAUUGAUUAAACUACAGCAGAAAUGGUGGUAUGACAAGGGAAAAUGUGGAGAUCAGAGUGUUAGCAAGGAAUCAACUGGAACCCAGAAUGCUCUGACUUUGAGUAAUGUCUCUGGAAUAUUUCACAUUUUAAUUGGAGGGUUAGUUCUGGCAAUGGUCACGUCAUCUUUAGAAUAUUUCAUACAGAGAAAACUCAGAAAGAGACGGAGUCAUUUGAAGAUGUCUAAAAGUUACACUCUACCAAAUCCACCUCCCCCACCACAACGACUUUGCUUUGGAUCUACUUCCAACAGAGCGUCUGUGUCACAACCAGUCUGGGAGAAUGGUCAUAGUUCUGAGGCUGCAGCUGCUCAUGAGCGAGAAGACCUGAUGAGUAAUGA
rnacentral:sRNA from 1 species